CCUACGGGAGGCAGCAGUGAGGAAUAUUGGUCAAUGGGCGCAAGCCUGAACCAGCCAUGCCGCGUGAAGGAUGAAGGCCUUUGGGUUGUAAACUUCUUUUAUGGGGGAAGCGGUACCCUAGGAAUAAGCACCGGCUAACUCCGUGCCAGCAGCCGCGGUAAUACGGAGGGUGCAAGCGUUAUCCGGAUUUACUGGGUUUAAAGGGUGUGUAGGCGGGCUUUUAAGUCAGUGGUGAAAUCUCCGGGCUCAACCCGGAAACUGCCAUUGAUACUAUUAGCCUUGAAUUUUGUUGAGGCAGGCGGAAUAAGUCAUGUAGCGGUGAAAUGCAUAGAUAUGACUUAGAACACCAAUUGCGAAGGCAGCUUGCUAAACAAAAUUGACGCUGAGGCACGAAAGCGUGGGGAUCAAACAGGAUUAGAUACCCUUGUAGUC
rnacentral:rRNA from 1 species